CUCCAUCGCUAAGUCAAGGCUACUUUCGCGCUCUUCUGUGCGCACCUUUCUCCGUGAAAGCAGCCUGUUACAGCUUUGGUACAUCAAGCCGCGCUCGCCCUCCCCCUUCAGGGACGGUUCACGACACUUGCAUCCGUCUUGGAAGCAUCCGUUACAGAGUGCAACGCGUGUUUCGUUUGAGUUGAGGUCUGCUCUUCAUCACCCAUAGCAUAUCUCUUAGUAAUGUCUCAUACACUU
rnacentral:snoRNA from 1 species